UAUUACUUGUCGUGCAGUGCUAUGGUGCAUUUCAUAGUGUCUCAGUUUACUUAAUACACUUUCGAAUUUACAGAUUGCUUCACAUGUUUACAGCUAAAAACCACAGAGGAAACCUCAGGGAAACUACUUGCAUUAUGAUUGAGAGGUCACAACACGAGUAUUUGUGUGGUGUCCUUCCUGUUCACACAUUUUGACCAGCAAAUCUGCACCACCUUAAUUUAAGUGCGAUGGAAGGGAUGUUUGUGCAUAGCCAAGCUGUUCUCGCGUGCCUGGUGGCACCGUAUAGUUCCAAGCGUAAUAGUGAACAACUAGUAAAGAAAUCGACUGAUACUAAGCUGACCCAUAUGUAGGAGCAUUAUAUUACCUAAGCCACACGCAAAGUUGCUUUCAGUGUACUGAAAAGCCACAGCUUUGAUUUGUCAAGUUAUUUUACUGCACAAACACAGCGCUGCAAUAAAGUCUGUACAAUGGUGAGCAAUGCAGCAAGCAAUGAAAGAUUACUUGUGAUGUGCGGAUUUGAAUAGUACAUGUGAAUGCAUACCCAAUUCACCAGUAUUGUUUUCUUCUGGAACGAUUUUAUGUUUUGUACAGAGGCUGAGCCACUGUGGCCUCCUGACUACAAA